AAGGCCGUCCAUCCAUACUUUCGACGCCAUGCGAGUGGCUUAUCGGCAUCCCAGGUAGCACAGUAAGCACUGGCAGCUCUCAAGUCCCAAUUAAUUUUGGCAGGAUUGUAGAAAUGAUAUGUAGCUCUCACAUUAGAGCCACUUUGGCAAGUGGCUCUAGCUAUGAGAAAGGCUAAGAACACGAUGCACACAGUUACCCUUACCCCCAUUCUAUUCGUCUGUAUUGGGUUUGUUUCAUGAGAGAAUUCAUGAAUUUAUAGGAGAAAAUCACUGAAAAGUAAGUUUAAAAUGUGGAAAUUGGGGAUUUGAAAACAGGGACUAACGACUGGAACUGUUACAAGUCGAGGGUUCAUUUGUGCAUACUCGGCACAUGAAGUGCAAGCAAAAUAGGACACUAAACAUUAAUUGUGGCAUUGGUGGAUGCAUUGUGUAUUUGCCAGGACGCGGCAAUGAAUGCCUGAAAAGUAAACUCUUCUAAGAUAAGAUCAUUAUUCCCCCUACGACUCUAAUGGUAAUUAACCAAAUCUUCAUAGUAAAAGCUGAAUUUUUGUAUACAUUUAGUAGCAUUAAUUAAAGUUUAUUGGAAUCCAGACUUAAAGAAAUUAGAUGUAAUUCUUCCAGUUGAUAUAACAUAUUCCAAACAAAUUAUGGGGUAUAUUUAAAAUAAAUAAAAAAUGUACUUCAUAAUUGAAUAAUUUCUAAUAACAUUACAAAGCGUGCUGAAAAUUUACGGAUAUAUAUGAUUGUUGUGAACUGUGCCUUGAGCAAAAGUGAAAUUCAGGUAUAAAUGUAAAUACAAAUAUGUCAUCUUUCACUUUUACAAUUAUCAUAUUUGUGAAUAUAUGUUUUCAUAGUAGAAUGUGUGCAUUCUGCCAAGUCUUUAAAUUAAUUAUUUUUUCUAUUUUUAUGUAUCGCAUGUGAAUAUUAAUUUACGGAUGAUGAUUCUGCUUUGUCCCUUUAAGUGAUUAAAGCUCUAGAAAUGCUUUCAGUUUCCACUAGAGAACACUAGUAGAAUGUAACUUCAAAUUGUAAAGCCUGGAGCUUUGACAUUUAUCCUUAAUUGCAUUAUUAUUGUUACUACUGUUAUUAACUUGUUGAGUGAAUCUUUAAUAAAUUAUUAUUUUUAUCAUUCACUACAUGAAUCAAUUUUAAAAAAGAAAUAUUUAACUAUUCAAUAAACGACGAGACAUUAACAUUUCUAACAGGAUAGAGUGUCUAUGUCGAACACAUAUCAAAUAUGAUAUUAACACAAACAAAGAAUAGUAUCAUGUCUUAGAUCUUUCCAGAAUAGUUAUAUUUUAAAAUGACUAUAUAAAUAUGUUCACACGCCGCGUUUAAGUCAAAUGUCAUAAGUCACUAAAAGGAAUGAGAUUAGAAAGUUUAUUUGCAUUAAUUCAAGGAUGAUGGCAAUUGGGAAUAAUCCAUGUUUGUAUUAAUCUUUGUCAUUAUUCCGAGACCAGCAAGAUUUCCAAUGCAUGAAAUAUUUAUUUAUGGUAGAAGCUUAUUCUAAGUGGUAGCAAGUGAUGCUUCUUCAAAGGUUGUAUAUGGUGAAUUCAUCUAAUCACCACAAUUUACAAACUGAUAGCUAACAAUAAGGUGGCCUUGAGCAAUGCCUCUUCCAUCGGUGUCUAUCUGCCGGAAAACGCCUUCAUCCAAGUCCAACCCUCCGUUGCUACACUGAUCAACUACCCGGACAGUCACUUGAGCUCCUGUUCCAGUAUUUGUCACCUGAACAAUAUCAUUUUAACAGCGAAUUAACAUGAAUUUUGAUUAAAUAAAUCCAGAAUAAAUAUUUGCUAGAAUUUUUCAGAAAAAUGAAUAGAUUACUAGGAGUGGGACUCUUGCCGCCCCUGCCCUACGAAACAAGACAAGACACUCAAAUAUAAGGUUUCACUUUGAUCAUAGAUGUUUCUUACCCUCAAGCAUUUGCCACAGGCCGCUUGACCUUGACCCACCGGAUGACAGAAGGCCGUCCAUCCAUACUUUUGACGCCAUGCGAGCGGCUUGUCGGCAUCCCAGGUAGCGCAGAAAGCACUGGCAGCUCUCAAGUCCCAAUUAAUUUGGGCCGGAUUGUAGAAAUGAUAGGUAGCUCUCACAUUAGAGCCACUUUGGCAAGUGGCUCUAGCUAUGAGAAAGGCUAAGAACACAAUGCACACAGUUACUCUUGUCCCCAUUCUAUGCGUCUGUAUUGGGUUAGAUUUGUGAAAGAAAUCUUGAAUUUAUAGAAGAAAUUCACUGAAAAGUAGGUUUGAAACNNNAGGUUUGAACGUGGAAAUUGGGGAUUUGAACAGGGACUAUCGACUGGAAUGGUUAUAAGUCGAGGGUUCAUUUGUCCAUAGUCAGCACAUGAAGUGCAAGCAAAAUAGGACACUUAACAUUAAUUCUGGCAUUGAUGGAUGCAUUGUGUAUUAGUCAGGAUACGGCAUUGAAUGUUAGAAAAGUAAAACUCUAUUGAGAUAAGAUCAUUUCUUUUCCGUUCAUAAUUGGUUUAUAAUGUGGAUGAACAAUUCCUCUGUAUAAUUUCUCAGAACCUGCUGAAAAUAUGCGGAUAUGGAUUGUACCUCGGGCGAAAUAUAAAAUUUUAGAUAUAAAUGGAGUUAAAAUAAUAUUAUGGGAGGAUGAGAUUCUUAAAUCACUGCCAUCUGACUCAAAGAUCUUUUUACUAGUAAUAUACUAUAAAUCUUCAUAGCCCUCUCAAGUAGCAAAGCAUGGAUUACUCUAAAAUUUAUAAACCAUGCAAUUAAUAAUUAAUUAAUAUUUUCCUUUAUUCUGUUAAGUUUCUUGAGACAUAAAUUUAUUGUCUUUAUAUUCUUGUUUUUUUACUUUAUCAAUCUUGCAAGCUGAUUCAAUUUUCUUGACCUUGAACGACGUUGGAAAUUAACGUAGUCAAGAAAGGUGGGCUGUUUAAUUUUCUUUUGCUUCUUUUAAUUCCAGAAGCUAUAUGCAUCUUCUCCAAAUUUUUGAAAUGCAUGAACCCUUUCUAUUUUCAGUAGCCAAUAAUUGCUGCCAUUGACUCAUAAAGAUAUAAGUUUACUUUCAAGUCCUCAAGCUACACAUGUGCAAUGCUAGCCUUGCUUGCGAAGUUUAUUACCAUAACAUAAAAUUAUCUUUACUGAUCAUCCAUAAUAGAAAACAGAGGGUUGAAGGAAUCUCCACAGUUAACAAACUGGUAAUUCACUAUAAGGUGACCUUGCUGGUAUCCAAUACCGUCUGUGUCCAAUUGACGAAAGACAUUCACAUCCAAAUCCAGUCCUCCAUUGCUGCAUUGAUCAACUAUUCUCACUGUUGUCGCAGCUCCAGUCCUAGUAUUUGUCACCUACACACACACACAUAUAUAUGUAUACACAUAAAUAAGGCAUAUAUAACAUUAAUCUUAAUUAUCAAGGAAUAGAAUUAAAUACAAACUAUGAUUCAGUGUGCUCGUACAUCCGAGUGCACCGAUUUUAUUAAACAAGAAAUAAUGUUGUUUUGAGCGAUUAAAAAAACUGUGCAAUUUCUUAAUUUUCUUACCCUCAAGCACUUGCCACAGGAGGUUUGUCCGCGAGGUCCAGCAGGACCGCAGAACGCAGUCCACCCAUACUUGCUCCUCCAUGAAUAAGGCUUGUUAGCAUCCCAUGUAGAACAAUAUGCACUAACUGCAUUCAGAUCCCAUCCAUGUUGCUGAGGAUUAUAGAAAUGGUAUGUAGCACGGACAUUAGAAGCACUUUCACCGCCACCACCACCUUUGCAAUUGCUUUGGCAGUUUUUGGAAGGUGAGCAAUAGUCAUCAGUAGAGCCACACCAUCCAUACUGGCUACAACAUAGGUUAUUAGGGCAAAGCUUACCGCCUGCUUGCCUGCCACAUUGCUCACCAAAUGCAACACCUAGUGAACAUAGUAGCACAACCAUAAGCACAUCAAUAACACUUCCCAUUUUUUCGUCUGUCAAUUCUUGAUAUUUUGGUAUGUGGAUGAUGAUGAGCUAUGCUAACUAAACUAAGUUCACCUAGAUUUAUAGUAGAUAUUGUGUUAUUGGGUAGUAAACGCUCAUGUGGGUUUGGACCGUUGAUGAGGAAAUCAAAAUAUCAAGUGGUAGGUCAAGCCAUCAAAGUGAUUAAAUAUUGUGGCGGCUCUGAUCAUGAGAGGUGGCUAUGGAUCCAAAUCUGCAUUAAAGAAUAAUAAAGAGGAUAUGGCCAAACUUCUUUUCAUAUAAAUUUAUAUCAAUUUUGCUUUUGAUUUCGUUUUUGAGCUUGCACUUGCUGUGCAUGGAUAUAAUUUUCACUUUCACUGGGUAUGAGCUUGAAAACUUUGUACAUUAUUUUAUUGUAGAACUAGCAACAAAUAAAUUUCUUUUCAUAUUCAUUUAGUUGAAUAUGUAAUAAGGUAUACAUGUGCAAAUAUUUCCCGAUAAACAUCUUGCCAGGGCCGCCUCAACCAUACAAGGGCCCCUGGGCCGAGAAAAGAAUAAUGGACUGCAACAUUUUUUUUAAUAGUUAAAAAAGAAAAUUAAGCAUUUUGGUGCAAGAAAAAUUUGGAUUUUUUAUUACUUAAAGAAAAACAAAAUUUUACUCCUUUGUAGUAGGUUUUGGGGCUUGAAUCUUUUAAUAGUUAUUAGGCCUAAGUUAUUUUCUUUUACAGUUGAAGGGAGAAAAACUCAAACUGCCCUUUUCAGGCCCAAUUUUUAUUUAUUUAAUAAUUAAAACAAUUAAGACCUUUGCUUAAAUAAAUUUAGUAGCUGAAUUAGUUAAAAAAACUUUAUGGAAACGAAUUUGGAAAUUGAUUGACCCUCAGCACGUAGGUUUCGUUUGGGUUGAAGUGUUUGCUAUUGUCGUUUAUUGGACUUGAAAAUGGGAUCGUUGCUUCUUCUAUUUUUCCGGAAGUAUAUAUUAAGCAGGUUUCUAAAGUUAUGAAAUUUGAUAGGCAGGUUCGAUUGGUGAAUUGGAGCCCGCCUAACGCUGGCUAUAUACACGGAUGCCAGUUGUGGAGGAAGUUCGGAUAUUACAGGGGAUGGUGGUGUCCGAUGGGUUUGUGGGUUCAUGAUGAGCGUGGGAAAUCGUCAGGCUACUGGUGCUGAGCUUUGGGCUCCCUUGCAGGUGCUUUCUUAUGCGUGGAAAGAAGGGUAUUCGUCAUUUGGUUGAUGAGACAGAUUAUUUGCUUGCUUGUUGUCGAGUGGGUUAAUCAGAAAGUGAGGUUUAAUAGCUGGCUUGAUAAUAUGGUUGUCACGCGUUGCAUCAGGAUUAGGAUUAGGAUGUCAAAAUUGGUUUAUACGAUUCAAGUGGCGGACUGGCUAACCAACUUGGUAUCCAUGAGCUUGAGGAGGAGGCUCCCGUGGAGCUCAGAAUGAUGCUGUUGGAUUGCCUCCCCUUCUAGCUUUUCUUUCUUUUGAAUGGAAAAUACUUUCAUUUAACUGGCGACUCAGCCUCCAAAAUCGAACAUAAAAACAAAGGGGGAGAAGACUCCCAAAUACUAAGAUCAGACGAAGAACCAAUUGCUGUAGCUAGAGUAUGAGCAACUUGAUUCACAUACCUUUUAACAUAAGCACAAGCAACAUUUGUGAGAGAGAAGAUAAUAGAACGAGAGUCUUCAAUGACUAAACCAAAAGGAGAACUGAUGACCUCUGUCGAGUUAACAGUCACGGAUUCCCAUAGGCCCCAUUCUAUUUAGAAAAAAAGAAAAGAAAAUUCAAAUGAAGAAGGCAAAUUUGUCUGGUUUCUUUCGUAGAUGAUUUGUGUUACUGGACAAUUUGUAUAGCCAUCUCCAAGCUGCAUUCUGAUUAGCCCAUAUCCUCUUAGCCAAGUAGUA
rnacentral:lncRNA from 1 species